GCAGUGGUGAUUCAGUGGUAGAAUUCUUGCCUCCCAUGUAGGAGACUUGGGAUUGAUUCCAGGCCAAUGUA
rnacentral:tRNA from 1 species